rnacentral:rRNA from 1 species
AACGUAAACAACCUGCCUUCAGGAUGGGGACAACAGACGGAAACGACUGCUAAUACCGAAUAAGUUCCAAGAGCCGCAUGGCCCAUGGAAGAAAAGGUGGCCUCUACCUGUAAGCUAUCGCCUGAAGAGGGGUUUGCGUCUGAUUAGCUGGUUGGAGGGGUAACGGCCCACCAAGGCGACGAUCAGUAGCCGGUCUGAGAGGAUGAACGGCCACACUGGAACUGAGGCACGGUCCAG